AUUGAACGCUGGCGGCAUGCCUUACACAUGCAAGUCGAACGGCAGCACGGGAGCAAUCCUGGUGGCGAGUGGCGAACGGGUGAGUAAUAUAUCGGAACGUGCCCAGUCGUGGGGGAUAACGUAGCGAAAGCUACGCUAAUACCGCAUACGAUCUAUGGAUGAAAGCGGGGGAUCGCAAGACCUCGCGCGAUUGGAGCGGCCGAUAUCAGAUUAGCUAGUUGGUGGGGUAAAGGCCCACCAAGGCGACGAUCUGUAGCUGGUCUGAGAGGACGACCAGCCACACUGGAACUGAGACACGGUCCAGACUCCUACGGGAGGCAGCAGUGGGGAAUUUUGGACAAUGGGCGCAAGCCUGAUCCAGCAAUGCCGCGUGCAGGACGAAGGCCUGGUUGUAAACUGCUUUUGUUACGGAACGAAACGGACCUGCCCUAAUACGUGGGCGUAAUGACGGUACCGUAACGAAUAAGACACCGGCGUAACUACGUAGCCAGCAGCCGCGG
rnacentral:rRNA from 1 species